rnacentral:rRNA from 1 species
UACGUAGGGUGCAAGCGUUGUCCGGAAUUAUUGGGCGUAAAGAGCUCGUAGGCGGUCUGUCGCGUCUGCUGUGAAAACUCAGGGCUUAACCCUGAGCCUGCUUCCGAUACGGGGCAGACUAGAGGUAUGCAGGGGAGAACGGAAUUCCUGGUGUAGCGGUGAAAUGCGCAGAUAUCACGGAGGAACACGGUGGCGAAGGGCGGAAUCCUCCGUG